AAACUGUCCUCAAUGUAAUAACCUUAGCUGUAGGCGUUGCAGUUUUGUGACGACCUUAGCCUCCGGGAAAUAAAAACAUUUAAUACGCGAAUAAUAAAUUGCUGUAUUUUGACGUAGGUUGGUUUCCAAAGAAAUAUUAUGGUGUUCACUCCCUCUCGAUUGUGAGUGACGCACUUCCCACUGUGUCCCGUUUUCUCGGAAUCUCGAGGAACACUAUCAAUUUUUUCGUAGUUUUCACUUCUCUACGCAACCUUCACCGUGGGGAAGCCCCGUCGGUUGUUAGUUCAUUGGUCACUUCCGGUUUCAAUUUCAGCCUGAAGAUUGAGAAAUUAAACACCGUAAGCUGAGAGUUCAUAUCGAGCUACAUCCUGCUUCAGAACAUUAGCUUAUAACUUUGCUGUUGUCGACGCAGUUUGAUUUUGUCUUCAUUCUGUUGAUCCCAACCGAGUGUUGAUGUUGUCGACGUAGUGUGUUUUGUCUUCAUUCUGUUGAUCCCAACCGGGUGGGAGAGUCCCCUCGUGUUUAUUUCAGUUUCUCACUUUCGGUUUCACUUUGAUCUCAAGAGCGUGACAUUAAAGACCAUUAAACAUCGCACGUUUGCUGUUUUCUGUGGUAAGUAUAACUACGCUUUUAUUGUGUCACCUUUACCUUAACGGUUGAGAAUAUUAUAAGGCCGCGACAUUCAAAGCGAAGAUAAGUAUAUAGCUGCGACAUCUGUAGGAAAGAUUAGUCGUAAACUCGAUGCUGUUUGGUUCUACGAUGUCGCGGUCUGUUAGAAUGGAAAUGAAGAAAUUCAUCCAUCAAAUCGUACAAACUAUAUAUUCUGUAGUGACUGACUGAAGAAUUAAAUUCACGAUUUCCCUUGUCUUGAAAAUGAGAAUGAAGAAUUAAAAAAGUCCGAGCAAGAUUCGCCGUUCUCGUCAGUAUUUUUGUGAAAGGAAGCUCAAAGUGGAAUCAAAAAGUCAGCAACAAAAUGUGAAUGAUUUUAAAAGCUAUUAAACCGCUGUCUCGUCUGUAUUUAGCAAAAAAGAAGAUAGCAAAGAAGCUACACACAUAAAAAUAUCUCUUUUCUUUAGCUGUUUUGCACAAUCGAUUUGCAUAUGUCAUUGUCUGCCCUCAUCUUGCAGGGGAAUUCCCUUUACUGUUAUUAUUACAGUUUCUUAGUUUUAGUUUUACUUGGAUGUCAAGAUGUUCUGGCUAAACACCGUAAAUUUACAUCGUGUUCAAACAUGAGUAUAUAUUUAGCCGUGACAUUUAUCAAAUCAGUAAGCUCGAGUUAAUCGAACACUCGAAUUUAUUUCCUUCCGUGAUGUCACGGUUUUCGAUGAAAUCGUACAAACUACGCUGUGUAGUGACUGAAAGAAAUAGUAUAUUCGCAUUCCCAAGUGUCUUGAGAAUGGUUAUAAGAAUUACAUUAGACUGAGCAAUAUCAGCUCGUCCUAACUUUCCGUUUUUGUCUCCAAAGCAUCAGUCUUUAAAGUGGAAAUGAAUCUGAAAGUUGUUAGACCGUUAUCUCGUCCGUAUUCAGUAAAGAGUAAAGAUAGCAAAAGGUGUAACACACCUUAGGAUAAUUUUUUUUUUCGUUGAUUUUAAUAAAUCCAUUUGUAUUUGUCAUUGUCUGCUCUUAUCUUGCAAGGAAAGUCCCUCAGUGUUUAUUUCAGAUUCUCACUUUCGGUUUCAAUUUCAGCCUGAAGAGCAAGAAAUUAAACAUCACAAGUUUAUAUCGAGCUACAUCCUGUUUCAAAGCAUGAGCUUACAACUAUGAGUAUAACGCGAUGUUAAAUACUAUUAAAUAAUCUUUACUGAGAUCGAGAAAUUUGCAUGGAUUGUGAAGGCUGGCAGAUCUUCACUUGGAAAAUUAAGUCAAACGAAUAAACGCUUGCAGGAAACAACGUUCGUCGGUAAAUAAUCCUAGCCACCUUAACGUUUUGAACCCUAUGUACAGAAUUUUGUAAACUUUCCAAAAGUAGCGUCGUAUCAUGCCUAUUAAAAUUUGAUAAUAAAAAAAUAAUUUACCGUGCUGUUUUUGAAUUAUAAGCACCUAAAGCUGUAAUGAAGGGUGUUUUUAGCAGGUCAAACUGUUGCUGUGGUAACUCAUUGUGUCACGCAAAUAUCGUGUUCACCAAUGAUUGAGCAGUUUUUUUGAUACUAUGAUUGUAGCAUCACGUGAUAAAGAGUGCUUAUAACGACCCAUCAAAAUCUAAGAGCUGGAAACUGUUUUGAGCCCCGUGAACUUUCUUUCCUUUCUACUUUUCUUGAAACAGUUGCUGUUGUCGACGUGGUUUGAUUUUGUCUUCAUUUUGUUGAUCCCAACCAGGUGGUGAGUACAAUUUUUUUUUUUUCUGUAUGUAGGCCUCGGCGAUUAACUUCGUUAUAUAAUGUGUCUUCUCGGAAUUUUGGGAUUUUCUCGUAUCACUGGAUUGUUUCCUAGUUUUCAGUUUUCAAAGCGAACUUCAUUGUGGUAAGUACCAACUUAACUUUUAUUGUGUGGUUUAAUCUUGACCAGUCGAGAAUAAUUUAAAGCCACGAUAGCGAAGAAGAGUAUAUAAGCGAGACAUCUACAGGGAAGAUUACCCGUGAACUCGAAAUUGUUUCGGUUCUAUGACGUCACGGUCUGUUGCAAUGGAAAUGACGAAGAAGUUUUAUCGAUCAAAUCGUGCAGACUAAAUUAUGUAGUCACAGACCGAGGAAUUAAAUUUACGAUUUCUCUUGUCUUGAGAUUGAGAGUAAAGACUUAGAAAAGGUCGAACGAGAUUCACAGUUAAAACUUCGCUAGUCUUUCUGUUACUACAAGCUCAAAGUCAAAGUCAACAAAAUGUAAAUGAUUUUAAAAGCUACUGGACCGUACUAUCUCGACGGUAUUUAACAAAAAAUAUGAAGAUAGGAAAGGAUGUAGCACGCAUUAGAAGAACUCUUUCAUUUAGUUAUUUUGCAGCUGCUCUAUUUGCAAAUGUGAUUGUCUGACCUCGUCUUGUACGGGAAUUCCCUCACUGUUAUUUCAGUUUCUUGAUUUUGGUUUAAACACCGUAAAUUUACAUCGUGCUUCAAAACAUGACGUUAUAACUCCGACAGAAAAGUCAAUAUUAAAUGCUAUUAAAUACUUUUUACUGCAAGAGAUUUGCACGGAUCGCGUGACAAAUUUUAUCUGGGUUACGAGCUCUAACAAUGAGUCACGCGAGAAGAUAAAGUCACGCGAAUAAGUGCUAAUGCUUAACUCCUUCUUUGUUAUUCUUGAAACAGUUGUUGCUGUUGUUAACGCGGUUUCAUUUUCGAUUAUCCUGUUGAUAUAAACAGACUGAGGAAAAGGUCCUGUUACUGACGUGUGUUAGUUUUGGUUUCACUCUGUUGACUCACCAAAACUAGAGAGUAUAAAACAAGUUUAGCUUUGUUAUUCAUAGCAGACUUAAAUCAUCACGUAAACUGUUCUCAUUCGAUCUAAUUUUUCAACACGAUGAAAGAACUCAAAUAAUCAUUUUGAUCCUGCUUUGGAAACUUUACGUUAACAAUCAGAGCCAGUUUCUAACCAUAUUUAGUGUAUGACGCUGUUGUGACUAUUUAAAAACAAAUAGAUGAAGCGUGAUUGAGAAGCCGAAAAGGCGUCCUCCAUGUCUCAUCAAGGAUUCCAAUUAAGGUAUAUUAAUGUGUUCAGUCAUUGAGUAGGAGUGAUUUGCUGGUAUUCUUCCCUAUUAGAGUUGGAACGUGGCCUACCAUAUCAGGCUCCCCAUAUCAGACCCCAACAUACAAUACGAGACCCCGACCUACCAUAUCAGACCCCAACGUACCAUAUCAGACCCCGAUCAUAUCAGGUCGGGUUUGACUGUUUUAUGUGUCGGGUUUAACUUUAUGUUAACUGUUGUGCUAAGUAAUACAGUAAUUCUUCAGUAGUGUACUGAAAUUAUCAUGAAAUAUGGCUAUUACGAAUGACAAACUGCAAGUUCACUGGAAGAGAAGGUCGCCAUUGCUGCAACUUCCUUUCUAGCCUAUAGACUUCACAGCAUCGCGGUUCUUAUCUGAUCACCGUAUUCUGGUACUAUUUUUUAGGAAAUAUAUAAAUUAGAAAUACUUUUAAAAUAUAUUUUUGAAGCAAGCAUCCGUCCCAAAACGUUCUAAGAUAAUUAUAU
rnacentral:lncRNA from 1 species